rnacentral:snRNA from 1 species
AGAUCACUUGAGCCCAGGACAUCAAGGCUGCAGUGAGCCAAGACUGCACCACUGCAUUUUAGCCUGGGCAACAGAG